AGUGAACGCUGGCGGCGUGCCUAACACAUGCAAGUCGAACGAUGAAGAGCAGCUUGCUGCUCGGAUUAGUGGCGCACGGGUGAGUAAUGCAUAGGUAAUGUGCCCCUUAGUCUGGGAUAGCCACUGGAAACGGUGAUUAAUACUAGAUACUCCUUCUUGUCCUAAGGCAAGUCGGGAAAGUUUUUCGCUAAGGGAUCAGCCUAUGUCCUAUCAGCUUGUUGGUGAGGUAACGGCUCACCAAGGCUAUGACGGGUAUCUGGUUUGAGAGGAUGAUCAGACACACUGGAACUGAGACACGGUCCAGACUCCUACGGGAGGCAGCAGUGAGGAAUAUUGCACAAUGGAGGAAACUCUGAUGCAGCAACGCCGCGUGGAGGAUGACGCAUUUCGGUGUGUAAACUCCUUUUAAGAGGGAAGAUUAUGACGGUACCUCUUGAAUAAGCACCGGCUAACUCCGUGCCAGCCGCCGCAGUAA
rnacentral:rRNA from 1 species